AUUGAACGCUGGCGGAAUGCUUUACACAUGCAAGUCGAACGGCAGCACGGACUUCGGUCUGGUGGCGAGUGGCGAACGGGUGAGUAAUGUAUCGGAACGUGCCCAGUCGGGGGGGAUAACGUAGUGAAAAUUACGCUAAUACCGCAUACGAUCUAUGGAUGAAAGCGGGGGAUCGCAAGACCUCGCGCGAUUGGAGCGGCCGAUAUCAGAUUAGGUAGUUGGUGGGGUAAAGGCCCACCAAGCCAACGAUCUGGAGCGGGUCUGAGAGGACGACCAGCCACACUGGACCUGAGACACGGUCCAGACUCCUACGGGAGGCAGCAGUGGGGAAUUUUGGACAAUGGGCGAAAGCCUGAUCCAGCCAUUCCGCGUGCAGGAUGAAGGCCCUCGGGUUGUAAACUGCUUUUGUACAGAACGAAAAGGUUUCUACUAAUACUAGGAGCUCAUGACGGUACUGUAAGAAUAAGCACCGGCUAACUACGUGCCAGCCGCCGCCGUAA
rnacentral:rRNA from 1 species